rnacentral:rRNA from 1 species
AUUGAACGCUGGCGGCAUGCUUUACACAUGCAAGUCGAACGGUAACAGGCCUUCGGGUGCUGACGAGUGGCGAACGGGUGAGUAAUGCAUCGGAACGUACCCAGAGGUGGGGGAUAACGCAGCGAAAGCUGUGCUAAUGCCGCAUGUGAUCUGAGGAUGAAAGCGGGGGACCGAGCAGCAAUGUUUGGCCUCGCGCCUUUGGAGCGGCCGAUGUCGGAUUAGCUAGUUGGCGGGGUAAAGGCCUACCAAGGCGACGAUCCGUAGCUGGUCUGAGAGGACGACCAGCCACACUGGGACUGAGACACGGCCCAGACUCCUACGGGAGGCAGCAGUGGGGAAUUUUGGACAAUGGGCGCAAGCCUGAUCCAGCAAUGCCGCGUGCGGGAAGAAGGCCUUCGGGUUGUAAACCGCUUUUGGCAGGAACGAAACGGUGUCCGCUAAUACCGGGCGCUAAUGACGGUACCUGCAGAAUAAGCACCGGCUAACUACGUG